AAGCGCGGGUAAACGGCGGGAGUAACUAUGACUCUCUUAAGGUAGCCAAAUGCCUCGUCAUCUAAUUUGUGACGCGCAUGAAUGGAUUAAUGAGAUUCCCACUGUCCCUAUCUACUAUCUAGCGAACCCACAGCCAAGGGAACGGGCUUGGAAUAAUCAGCGGGGAAAGAAGACCCUGUUGAGCUUGACUCUAGUUUGGCACUGUAAGGAGACAUAAGAGGUGUAGCAUAAGUGGGAGAUGGCAACAUCGACAAUGAAAUACCACUACUCUUAUUGUUUCUUUACUUACUUGAUUAAAUGGAGCAUGUAUUUCC
rnacentral:rRNA from 14 species